AAGUCGAGGGGCAGCACGGGUAGCAAUAUCUGGUGGCGACCGGCGCACGGGUGCGUAACACGUAUACAAUCUACCCUUAACAGGGGGAUAGCCCUCCGAAAGGAGGAUUAAUACCCCAUAAUAAAUUGAAUGGCAUCAUUUGAUUUUGAAAGUUCCGACGGUUAAGGAUGAGUAUGCGUCUGAUUAGCUAGUUGGUGAGGUAAAGGCUCACCAAGGCAACGAUCAGUAGGGGAUCUGAGAGGACUACCCCCCACACUGGUACUGAGACACGGACCAGACUCCUACGGGAGGCAGCAGUAAGGAAUAUUGGUCAAUGGAGGCAACUCUGAACCAGCCAUGCCGCGUGCAGGAAGACGGCCCUAUGGGUUGUAAACUGCUUUUGUACGGGAGAAAACCCUUUCACGUGUGAGAGGUUGAUAGUACCGUAAGAAUAAGCAUCGGCUAACUUCGUGCCAGCAGCCGCGGUAAGACGAAGGAUGCAAGCGUUAUCCGGAUUCAUUGGGUUUAAAGGGAGCGUAGGUGGACUUGUAAGUCAGUGGUGAAAUCUCUCAGCUUAACUGAGAAGCUGCCAUUGAUACUGCAGGUCUUGAGUACAGAUGAUGUGGGCGGAAUAUGACAUGUAGUGGUGAAAUACUUAGAUAUGUCAUAGAACACCGAUUGCGAAGGCAGCUCACAAAACUGUAACUGACACUGAGGC
rnacentral:rRNA from 1 species